UACGAAGGGGGCUAGCGUUGCUCGGAAUCACUGGGCGUAAAGGGUGCGUAGGCGGGUCUUUUAAGUCAGGGGUGAAAUCCUGGAGCUCAACUCCAGAACUGCCUUUGAUACUGAAGAUCUUGAGUUCGGGAGAGGUGAGUGGAACUGCGAGUGUAGAGGUGAAAUUCGUAGAUAUUCGCAAGAACACCAGUGGCGAAGGCGGCUCACUGGCCCGGUACUGACGCUCAGGUGCGAAAGCGUGGGGAGCAAACAGGG
rnacentral:rRNA from 1 species